rnacentral:rRNA from 1 species
AGAUUGAACGCUGGCGGCAUGCCUUACACAUGCAAGUCGAACGGUAGAGUAGCAAUACUCGAGAGUGGCGAACGGGUGAGUAAUAUAUCGGAACGUGCCCAGUCGUGGGGGAUAACGUAGAGAAAUUUACGCUAAUACCGCAUACGAUCUACGGAUGAAAGCGGGGGAUCGCAAGACCUCGCGCGAUUGGAGCGGCUGAUAUCAGAUUAGGUUGUUGGUGAGGUAAAAGCUCACCAAGCCGACGAUCUGUAGCUGGUUUGAGAGAACGACCAGCCACACUGGGACUGAGACACGGCCCAGACUCCUACGGGAGGCAGCAGUGGGGAAUUUUGGACAAUGGGCGAAAGCCUGAUCCAGCAAUGCCGCGUGCAGGAAGAAGGCCUCGGUUGUAAACUGCUUUGUACGGAACGAAAAGGCUCUUUCUAAUAAAGAGGCCAUGACGGUACCGUAAGAAUAAGCACCGGCUAACUACGUAGCCAGCAGCCGCGGUAAUC